GACAGAGGGGGCAAGCGUUGCUCGGAAUUACUGGGCGUAAAGGGCGCGUAGGCGGGAUGGCAAGUCGGUCGUGAAAUCCCUCGGCUCGACUGAGGAGCGUCGAUCGAAACUGCCGUUCUUGAGGGUUGCAGAGGAGACUGGAAUUCCCGGUGUAGCGGUGAAAUGCGCAGAUAUCGGGAGGAACACCGGUGGCGAAGGCGGCUCUCUGGGCCUGUACUGACGCUGAGGAGCGAAAGCGUGGGGAGCGAACAGG
rnacentral:rRNA from 1 species